rnacentral:misc_RNA from 1 species
UAAUUAUGUUCCCUGCCACGAUAUAAACUCACAAAUAUAAAUGAUGGUUGAGUUCUCUAUUACUAAUCAAAGAUAUACUUACAUACAUGAUCAUAAAUGGCCUUCUGAAGAAAUUGACAUUCACCAUAUUAUAGUUCGGAAGAGCAAUGCAAAAGGUUUCUUUGUAUGCAUAUCAGCUUUUGUUGUUUUAGCAAAUGGCCUUUGUCUCUUUCUAGUCAAGGUAUUUUGUUUUUUUUUAAGUUUUUUUUUUUCAAGCUCUGGCAUGAUACAUACACCCAUUGAUUUUGUUGGUUUGGCAUUCAUUCUUUAGCAAAAGGCCUUUACUCACACCUUAGCUAUAUGUUGCAUAGUUCUUUCUACAUUAAAGGAGCCAAUGAAUGGCUUUUUUUUUGGUCAUUUUAAUUCUGUUCUCAGUAUCUUCUGACUUCCAAAACAAAAGUGUCAUUUUGUUUCAUAAAAUGACUAAUUUCAUAUGUUUAUUCCAGUGCUAGAGUCAUUUGUGACCUUAACUGACAUAAUGGCCGUCAAUUAACAGGAUAUAUCAAUCAGCAUUAUUUUCUGGAGCUUUCUUUUAAGUGCAAUCCUUGUCAAAUUAAUGUUUUGGAAGUCUGUUGUAAAAGGUGAGAACUAGUGAAAUUGAGCUCUUAAUAGGCAUUAUGUUAUCUUAACAUUAGAAUGUAGUAAUGUACAACACAAUAGUGUUUUGAGUGUGUCCUUUCAGUUUGAGAAAUCAUAUUUUCAUCCUUAUUUUUACUGAAUGAACAGAGUCUGUUGUGGUAAUGCCAGCUUUUGGGGUCCAACUUGAAACUCAUUAUAGAAGGUAUCAUUGUUUUCUUCCCUUCCCCAUCACAUACUGGCCCAAAGAAUGCACAUGGAUAUAAAUUGCAUCUGUAAAUACACCUGUAUUAAUUAAUUGAUUUUACUAAUUUUAUUUAUGUUAUCAUUCAGCAAGUUACAUGAGAAGUUUGGCUGAAUAACAUAUAUGGCAGUUAAAUAAUACACCUAAUUUCUGAAGCUCGAAAUUGAUGAUUAAUCUGGAAUGAAUAAGAGGUUAUCCUGAGAGGAGAAGACAGCUUGCUAUUACAUGUCUUAAAUUGGCAUGGAUUCCAAGUUGGAGAAAAUUUAAGGAAUUAAGCUCGAAGAGUUCUUCAUUUUCAUCUCUUGGGCCGAACAUCUCAAUCACUUAUUUCUCAUUCAGUCAAUUGUAUUUUCACCUUUAAGAUAUUUCCAUUAAAGCAAAAUUAACAUAGGCCAAGCAAUUAGUGCUUGCCAUUCCUCCAUCAGCUUUUGACUAUCAUGCUGUCAAUAGUUACUAGUUAUCUUUCAAAAUAUAUUUUAUUGUUUUUUUCCUUGUUCCUGAACUAAAGCAUUAUUAUUUUCUGUCCAGCGGAAGAAUUGCCCGCCGCUUUGUUCCCAUUGGCAAGAUUUUGAAACCUGUGCUGCUAGAAUGUGUGACUCCAAUUACUUGUUACUGGAGCCUGUCCCUUAUUUUACGUGGGGAAGCAGAUUUAAUGUUGGUUUUUAAGGUAUGCAAGUUAUGCAUAAAAAUAUCUGACUGGUUAGAAUGUUGCAAGCGUGAAAGAUGGAAGUCCAUAUUAUGGGGUUAAAAAUUUACAAAAUGGCUGCAAAUUUUUUAAAACAAGAUGUAGGAGUUUAUUGAUGAUCAAGGGUUUUCAUGUACUUUUUCUUAAUUAAAACGUAAAUUCUGUAUGUAGGAAUUGCAUCCACCUAUGAAGAUGUUGGUCCCUAUCUGGAAGGCCUUGUGUAUUGCCUGUGGCAGUGUAGAAAGUUCAGACCCCUCUAUAAAAAAUGGCUAACGGCAUUGAAGGAUUUAAGAUGAAGGGAAUUGAUGAUGUUAUCUUGUUCUUUAAGCUAUUCCUAAUCAUUUAUUGAUAUUAUUCAUUCACCAUAAUUCAUGAUAGGCAUUUUUUCAUUGGACAUCUCUUAGCCCCAGCUCCAAAAGCAGUAGAUUAGGACUUGGCUUGAUUGAGCAACUGCAUUAAGCGCUCAUUGAAUUUUAGUUGAGGCAGCAAAGGGCGAGGGUUUGAAAGUAGACAGUUUAGCUUUCUAAAGUUUGGGGUCCAAAACAUGUACACACAUCACCAGUUUGUUUAAACUAAAGUUAAUACUUUUCUUCAGUAGUAAAUUGGCAUGUUCAGGAAUUAGGAAGUUGAUUGAGACAAGGAAGAUAAGAUUAACACAAAAAGUAGAAAGAAUUACCAAAUUAAUAAUGAUUGACAUAUUGUGUGUAUGCAUAUGCUUUAGGGGAACAGAAGUUACCUAGUUUGACUGCUACUUAACCAAAUCAAAUGUAAAAACAAAGCAAAAUCAUUAUGUUUUACCUUGGUGUCCCAGCAUUACCUCAUUCAAAAGACCAUUUGCUGCCGGUCAUAAAAAAUUAAAUGAGCUAAUGAUGGAAUUGAGACGAUCUAAAGCAAUGAUGCAGCAGCCCAAUAUCGAAUUCAAACUACCUUCGGCAAAAAAAAAAAAAAAAAAAAA